rnacentral:tRNA from 1 species
UGGCUCAGCUGGGAGAGCACCUCCCUUACAAGGAGGGGGUCGGCGGUUCGAUCCC